CGCACGGCUUGUAGACCCCGCGAGAAGGAAGGUCGAGCCAGAUUGAAGAUCUCAAACAGACAAAUCAUGGCUUGGAAGAAUAUGUUAGGAAACUCUUGGAUAGUAAGGAGGUGGUAAGCAGUCAAGUAGAUGAUUUAACCAGCCACAAUGAGCAUCUUUGUAAAGAAUUGAUUAAAAUUGACCAACUAGCAGAGCAACUCGAAAAAGAGAAAAAUUUUGUGGUGGAUUCCGCCAACAAGGAACUUGAAGAAGCCAAGAUUGAUCUCAUUUGCCAGCAAAAUAAUAUUAUAGUAUUGGAA
rnacentral:lncRNA from 1 species